rnacentral:rRNA from 1 species
UACGGAGGGUGCGAGCGUUGUUCGGAUAUACUGGGCGUAAAGCGCACGUAGGCGGCUUUCUAAGUCAGGGGUGAAAUCCUGGAGCUCAACUCCAGAACUGCCUUUGAUACUGGGGAGCUCGAGUCCGGAAGAGGGGCGUGGAAGUUCCAGGUGUAGCGGUGAAAUGCGUAGAGUAUCUGGAGGAACACCGGUGGCGAAGGCGACAUCCUGGACCGGUAUUGACGCUGAGGCGCGAAAGCCAGGGGAGCAAAGCGGG